rnacentral:rRNA from 1 species
CCUACGGGAGGCAGCAGUGGGGAAUAUUGGGCAAUGGAGGCAACUCUGACCCAGCAACGCCGCGUGAAUGAUGAAGGUCUUCGGAUUGUAAAGCUCUGUGAUGGGGGAUGAACACAAUGACGGUACCCCACUAGCCAGCCACGGCUAACUCCGUGCCAGCAGCCGCGGUAAUACGUAGGUGGCAAGCGUUAUCCGGAAUGACUGGGCGUAAAGUGUGCGUAGGCGGUUUGGUAAGUUGGCGGUGAAAUUCCGGGGCUCAACCUCGGCGCUACCGCCGAAACUAUUAGGCUAGAGUGCAGGAGAGGGGAGUAGAAUUCCAAGUGUAGCGGUGGAAUGCGUAGAGAUUAGGAGGAACAUCAGGGGCGAAGGCGACUUACUGGAC